rnacentral:lncRNA from 1 species
AACCAGCUGCAGUACUUUUUGUGUGGUGUGGAAGUGUUUGUUUUUUGCAAUAGAUUUUUGUUGCAGUUUAGGUUUGUAUUUUCUUUGUUUUGUAGUGCUUAUUAUGAAGGUUCGUAGGUUUAUGUCUGUAGGCCAGGCAGGUCAUUAAACUUAACAAAGAAUAAGUAAGUCGGGAGAGGGGAAUAGAAAUCUCCACAUACAUAUUCUUAAAAGCUGUAACACUCACCACAAAGAUCUGCUGAGUGAAGUCUGUGAGACGAACGCACCAAGUCUGGACGCUCUGUCAGGCUACAUUUUACGUUUUUGGGAGUGAGCAGGUGUUAUUCUGUUCCCCGGGUUGGUUUUGAAGUCAUGGCUCUCAAGUAAUUUUUGUGCUUCUCAAAAGUGCUGGAAUUGCAAAGAUCAACAUCAAAAGCUACAAACUGGAAACAGAGGAAGAUACUAGCCCCGUGUUUCUGAUUCAGUAUCACUGAAAUACUUUGGAACCAUAUAAAGGGCAAAGUACAUUCCACAUGUUGAAGGACAGUGCCUGGCCCUGUGGGGUGUCAUCCCCAAGCUGUAGGCAUAGUGGCAACCCAGGGGUUCAUCUCAACUCCCAUCAGAGUUCAAACAUUGAAUUAGUUGUGCAAUGGAAGGAGUAUUACCAGGACCCAGAUGCAGCCCAAGGAAAAAAGAAAACAAAAGGAGACACACACAGACACCAGAGCAUGAUGCAAGUGUGGCUUAAUCGGUGCUUGCACAUUGGGCUUGUUCUUUCCAAACCUGUUGCCCCGAUUCUGCAAGGCUAUCCUGCUGUAGAAGGAGGCCCUGGAGGACAAGACACCAUGUGGGGAAAACAGCCAUGGGGAGCAGAACCGAGGUAUCCCAGCUUAGCUCCCAACUGACAGCAGCCACAUGAGUGAGCAGAAAAACAACUUCCAAGGGUGAUUUAGCUACUGCUGCUGUGGAAUGUCAAAACUUUCAGCAAGGGAGCCCGAUGCAGAUCUGUUGAUAUGACACCAUUCCACAAGAAGACCAACUGAUGGCUUUGUGGCAAGUUGACUACACUGGGCUGUUUCUAUUCUGGGAAGACAGAGAUUUGUUCUAAGAGGAAUAGGCAUGUGUUGCAGGCAUAGGUUGACCUUUCCUGCCAUGGAGCCUCCUCUGGUACCACUAUUUGAAGGUUGAAGGAAUGUUGAUUCACCAGGAUUGAGUCAGACCAGCCAAGCCUAUGACCAUGAUGUCAACUGACUGUAUCACCUGUCACAUCAUCCAGAAGCUACAGACUUAUAAGGCAUUGGAAUAACUUGUAGAUGGCCCCGUUAAAGUACCAGCUUAGAGGCAACACUCCAUGAGAAUGAGACAUCAUCUCCAGGAUGGCACAUACACAUUGAAUCACACAGCAUUGAUAAGGAGAUGGCUCCCCAGUAGGAAGAAUAUAUUGGUCAUGAACCAAGGGAUGAAGCAGAAGUGUCUUGCUUCCUGUCCCUGCAGCCUCUCUUUCUGCAGUGCUAGAAAUCCUGGUCAAAAGGGGGCAUAAUUUUAUCAGGGGACACAGCAAAAGUCUCCACUACAUUGCAGCUAUGCCUGCUGCCUGGGGAUUUUGGGCUUCUUAUAAUUGGGACCAGCAAUAAAAGAGAAGAGUCACAGUCUUGGCAGGGCUAAUUGACCCUGAUCAGCAGGAGAAGAAAGGCUGUGGUUCCACUAUGAGGGUAGGGAAGACGUGUGGCACCACUGAUCCACUUUUGCAACCCAUGGUACUCCCGUGGCCAGUUGUGAUGACAGACAAGUGCAGGAACACUUUUGGGAAGGGCAUGGUGGCCAGAGUUCAGACCCCAUGGGAAUGAGGACCAGGGUCACACCACUGGAUAAGCCAGGAGGAAGAGAGGCCCACUGGAAGGCUGGAGGAGCUGCUCCCCAGAUGUAGAUGAAGUAGAUUUGAGCAGCACAGUGGUGGACCUAGUAGAGGCGGACAUCAAGAUCCUCUUCAAGGAAAGAUUAUCAAUAUAGUUUUCCCUGACCCAGGUGCCAUGUGUUUUCUGUCAUAUUCACGUAUGCUAAUACAUAAUUGUGCAAGUGGGGUAAUAUCUGGGACACUUCAUGGUUCAUAUCAAAACACAGAGUGAAGAGAACAUCCUCUGGGCCAUCUCAGAGUGUGAGUUUGGGGCGGGGGUGGCUCCUGGUUAACAUUUCUGUCCACUGCAGCAUUCCUUUUCCCUUUUGCUUUUAGAUUCUUCCCUUGACAUCACACCAGGAAAGUCUGACAACUUAACUUUAUUGGAUAUAGGCAACCGUUGAAUCCAAGUUUUGCCCACUGAAUCCAUCAAAUUGUUACAGCCAAUUCUAGAUGCCUGAGUGGACACAUGAAAUCCAGAUUCCCCAGUAAGCGCAUCCCCAUUAAUAAACUGACCAAAUGCAAUGUUAA